rnacentral:rRNA from 1 species
GUGGGGAAUAUUGGACAAUGGGCGAAAGCCUGAUCCAGCCAUGCCGCGUGUGUGAAGAAGGUCUUCGGAUUGUAAAGCACUUUAAGUUGGGAGGAAGGGCAGUAAGUUAAUACCUUGCUGUUUUGACGUUACCGACAGAAUAAGCACCGGCUAACUUCGUGCCAGCAGCCGCGGUAAUACGAAGGGUGCAAGCGUUAAUCGGAAUUACUGGGCGUAACGCGCGCGUAGGUGGUUUUGUAAGUUGGAGGUGAAAUCCCCGGGCUCAACCUGGGACCUGCCUCCAAAACUGCAUGACUAGAGUACGGUAGAGGGUAGUGGAAUUUCCUGUGUAGCGGUGAAAUGCGUAGAUAUAGGAAGGAACACCAGUGGCGAAGGCGACUACCUGGACUGAUACUGACACUGAGGUGCGAAAGCGUGGGGAGCAAACAGGAUUAGAAACCCUGGUAGUCC